rnacentral:rRNA from 1 species
AUUGUAUCCACGAUUAGAGUUUGAUCAUGGCUCAGAUUGAACGCUGGCGGCAUGCCUAACACAUGCAAGUCGAACGGGUUGUACUUCGGUACAGCUAGUGGCGGACGGGUGAGUAAUACAUAGGAAUCUACCCGAGAGUGGGGGAUAACCCAGGGAAACUUGGAUUAAUACCGCAUGAUCUCUACGGAGCAAAGCUGGGGACCUUCGGGCCUGGCGCUUUCGGAGGAGCCUAUGUCUGAUUAGCUUGUUGGUGAGGUAACGGCUCACCAAGGCGACGAUCAGUAACUGGUCUGAGAGGACGACCAGUCACACCGGAACUGAGACACGGUCCGGACUCCUACGGGAGGCAGCAGUGGGGAAUAUUGGACAAUGGGCGAAAGCCUGAUCCAGCAAUGCCGCGUGUGUGAAGAAGGCCUUCGGGUUGUAAAGCACUUUAGGAUGGAAAGAAAAAACUUGACCUAAUACGUUAAGUCUUGACGGUACCAUCAGAAUAAGCACCGGCUAACUCUGUGCCAGCAGCCGCGGUAAUACAGAGGGUGCAAGCGUUAAUCGGAUUUACUGGGCGUAAAGCGUGUGUAGGUGGUGGCGUAAGUCGAUUGUGAAAUCCCCGGGCUCAACCUGGAAACUGCUUUCGAUACUGCAUCACUAGAGUACGGUAGAGGGUGGUGGAAUUUCCGGUGUAGCGGUGAAAUGCGUAGAUAUCGGAAGGAACAUCAACGGCGAAUGCAACCACCUGGGCCUGUACUGACACUGAGACACGAAAGCGUGGGGAUCAAACAGGAUUAGAUACCCUGGUAGUCCACGCCGUAAACGAUGACAACUUGACGUUGGUUUGCUUAGCGAAUCAGUGUCGUAGCUAACGCGAUAAGUUGUCCGCCUGGGGAGUACGGCCGCAAGGUUGAAACUCAAAGGAAUUGACGGGGGCCCGCACAAGCGGUGGAGUAUGUGGUUUAAUUCGAUGCAACGCGAAGAACCUUACCUGGCCUUGACAUGUCCGGAAUCCUGCAGAGAUGCGGGAGUGCCUUCGGGAAUCGGAACACAGGUGCUGCAUGGCUGUCGUCAGCUCGUGUCGUGAGAUGUUGGGUUAAGUCCCGCAACGAGCGCAACCCUUGUCCUUAGUUGCCAUCAUUAAGUUGGGCACUCUAGGGAGACCGCCGGUGACAAACCGGAGGAAGGUGGGGAUGACGUCAAGUCAUCAUGGCCCUUAUGGCCAGGGCUACACACGUACUACAAUGGUGCAUACAGAGGGUCGCCAAGCCGCGAGGUGGAGCUAAUCCCAGAAAGUGCAUCGUAGUCCGGAUCGGAGUCUGCAACUCGACUCCGUGAAGUCGGAAUCGCUAGUAAUCGCCGAUCAGCAUUUGCGGCGGUGAAUACGCUCCCGGGCCUUGUACACACCGCCCGUCACACCAUGGGAGUUGGCUGCACCAGAAGCCGGUAGUCUAACCGCAAGGGGGACGCCGUCCACGGUGUGGUCAAUGACUGGGGUGAAGUCGUAACAAGGUAACCAAUCGUGGAUACAAU